AACGAACGCUGGCGGCGUGCCUAACACAUGCAAGUCGAGCGAGAAAGCCCGCAAGGGUGAGUACAGCGGCGCACGGGUGCGUAACACGUGGGUAAUCUGCCCUGGAGCCCGGAAUAACUCCCCGAAAGGGGUGCUAAUGCCGGAUGAGACCACGGGGGCUUCGGCCCCCGCGGGAAAAGGUGGCCUCUGUACACAAGCUAUCACUCCAGGAUGAGCCCGCGGCCCAUCAGCUCGUUGGCGGGGUACCGGCCCACCAAGGCUACGACGGGUAGCUGGUCUGGGAGGACGGACAGCCACACUGGAGCUGAGACACGGUCCAGCCGCGCACGGGGGGCGGCAGUGGGGAAUCUGGCGCAAGGGGGGAAAGCCUGACGCAGCAACGCCGCGUGUGUGAUGAAGGUCUUCGGAUCGUAAAGCACUGUCGGGAGGGAAGAACAAGCCCGUGGCCAACAUCCACGGGCCUUGGCGGUACCUCCAAAGGAAGCACCGGCUAACUCUGUGCCAGCCGCCGCCGUAAGAC
rnacentral:rRNA from 1 species